rnacentral:rRNA from 1 species
AAUCAACGCUGGCGGCGUGCCUAACACAUGCAAGUCGAACGCGAAAGCCCGCAAGGGUAAGUAGAGUGGCGCACGGGUGAGUAACACGUGGACAACCUGCCUUCGAGUGGGGAAUAACCUUCCGAAAGGAGGGCUAAUACCGCAUAACACCUCGGGACACAAGUUCUGGGGUUGAAAAGAGCAAUUUGCUCGAAGAGGGGUCCGCGCCUGAUUAGCUAGUUGGUGAGGUAACGGCUCACCAAGGCUUCGAUCAGUAGCCGUCCUGAGAGGGAGCACGGCCACACUGGAACUGAGACACGGUCCAGACUCCUACGGGAGGCAGCAGUGGGGAA